ACGCUCGACACCUACUGGAGGCAGCAGUGGGGAAUAUUGCACAAUGGGGGAAACCCUGAUGCAGCGACGCCGCGUGAAGGAAGAAGUAUCUCGGUAUGUAAACUUCUAUCAGCAGGGAAGAAAGUGACGGUACCUGACUAAGAAGCCCCGGCUAACUACGUGCCAGUAGCCGCGGUAAUCUGAGCGGGCUGGCAAGGC
rnacentral:rRNA from 1 species